GACGAACGCUGGCGGCGUGCUUAACACAUGCAAGUCGAACGGAAAGGCCCUGCUUUUGUGGGGUGCUCGAGUGGCGAAAGGGUGAGUAACACGUGAGUAACCUGCCCUUGACUUUGGGAUAACUUCAGGAAACUGGGGCUAAUACCGGAUAGGAGCUCCUGCUGCAUGGUGGGGGUUGGAAAGUUUCGGCGGUUGGGGAUGGACUCGCGGCUUAUCAGCUUGUUGGUGGGGUAGUGGCUUACCAAGGCUUUGACGGGUAGCCGGCCUGAGAGGGUGACCGGCCACAUUGGGACUGAGAGACGGCCCAGACUCCUACGGGAGGCAGCAGUGGGGAAUAUUGCACAGUGGGCGGAAGCCUGAUGCAGAAACGCCGCGUGCGGGAUGACGGCCUUCGGGUUGUAAACCGCUUUCGCCUGUGACGAAGCGUGAGUGACGGUAAUGGGUAAAGAAGCACCGGCUAACUACGUG
rnacentral:rRNA from 1 species